rnacentral:rRNA from 1 species
GAGUUUGAUCAUGGCUCAGGAUGAACGCUAGCGGCAGGCCUAAUACAUGCAAGUCGAACGGUAAGACGAGUAGCAAUACGAGUCCUAGAGUGGCGCACGGGUGCGUAACACGUAUGCAACCUACCCUUAACAGGGAGAUAGCCCGGGGAAACCCGGAUUAAUAUUCCAUAGUAAUAUUGAGAGGCAUCUUUUAAUAUUUAAAGCUGAGGCGGUUAAGGAUGGGCAUGCGCAUGAUUAGCUAGUUGGUGGUGUAACGGACCACCAAGGCGAUGAUCAUUAGGGGAACUGAGAGGUUGAUCCCCCACACUGGCACUGAGAUACGGGCCAGACUCCUACGGGAGGCAGCAGUAGGGAAUAUUGGUCAAUGGUCGAGAGACUGAACCAGCCAUGCCGCGUGCAGGAAGACGGCCUUCUGGGUUGUAAACUGCUUUUAUCUGGGGAUAAAAAGCCCAUGCGUGGGUCAUUGCAGGUACCAGAUGAAUAAGCCACGGCUAACUACGUGCCAGCAGCCGCGGUAAUACGUAGGUGGCAAGCGUUGUCCGGAUUUAUUGGGUUUAAAGGGUGCGUAGGCGGCCCUGUAAGUCAGUGGUGAAAUACAACAGCUUAACUGUUGAGGUGCCAUUGAUACUGCGGGGCUUGAGUUUGGUCGAGGUAGGCGGAAUUGACGGUGUAGCGGUGAAAUGCAUAGAUAUCGUCAAGAACACCGAUAGCGAAAGCGGCUUGCUAGGCCAUAACUGACGCUGAGGCACGAAAGUGUGGGGAU